CGAACCCAUAUAUAUAUAUAUAUGUGUGUAAGUCACGAAAAUUAUGAGAACUCAAUUAUUUACUAAAUUACAAAACAAUAUACGACAAACCUCUACAUGUACAUAACUUAUGCUUCCGUGUCCUCAUAGCAUGGCAACGUCAUAUAAUCUUGCGAUCUUCAAUGCUAGCAAAAACAUCUCUCUCAAUGUAGCAUGUCAUACAGUGAUUCAUCUAUUUAUCAUUCAUCUUAUUCCGUAGUUCAGUUUUAAUAAUGCUCAUAGCUGAGAAGGCUCUUUCUACUGUUGCCGUUGCAACAGGCAAAAUCAAGGCUAAUUCAAUCAACCGAUAUACCAAUGGAAAAACCGUGCGCCUAUCACUCUGAACAAUCUUUACAGCUAGAUUACCAAGGUCAGAGCAGCUUGAAAAUUCUGGAUCAGCUCUCACGUCAUAAAUGAAUGUGUCAAGUUGGUCUCUAAGGAUAAUACAAUCAUAUUCAGAGAAAUCAGCCGCAUAAAUCCUAGCAAGUUCAAUUAGCUUUUCUUCACUGUAAUUAGCAAAAGAAUUCCUUGGAUCAAGGCAAGCAAUGCAUCUCAAUAGUUGAGUAGACCUUUCAGCAAAACGAUUGUUUAACUCAAAAAUAAUUUGAUCAGCCCGCUUGCGCAGCAGCCCGCUUGCGCCGUGGCGCCGAGUCCCGCCGUCCCGCGCGCGGCGCGCCGCAGCUUGCAGUGCUGGCCNNNNNNNNNNNNNNNNNNNNNNNNNNNNNNNNNNCGUGGCGCCGUCCGCCGCCGAGGCGCCGACCCGCACUCCCGCAGGCCGCAGUCUCGCCGUCGCCGUGGUGCCCGAGCCGCCAGCCGCUGGAGUCUGGAGAACGAGAGAGAGAGGGAGACUGGGAGAGUGAGGGCUAGGGUUUGGCGAAAUGGGCCGAGGCCUAAGUGAGUGAGUAGGGCUGAAUCUAUUCAGUCUUUUAUUUUUUCAGGGAAUAUAUGGGUACUAGUAAAAAAUUUUUUUUUUUUGCAAGAGUGGGGCUUUGGGCCCAGCCGCCCCCCGCCCCCUAAUUUCACCCCUGCCUAUGCCUGUGCACCUGUGCCCAUGCGCCCGCGUUGUGUGUUACCGCUGGUGUUUCUUGUUUGUAGGAACUCAAGAUUUUUUGCAGCUCAGAUCGUUCGUACAAAUUUGUAAUUCAUGUGUGGUUCUGUUCUUAAAGUUUAAGCGUCAUUGCUUUGGUUUUG
rnacentral:lncRNA from 1 species